rnacentral:rRNA from 1 species
GACGAACGCUGGCGGCGUGCUUAACACAUGCAAGUCGAACGAGAGCGUAGAGAAAGCUUGCUUUUUCUACAAUCUAGUGGCAAACGGGUGAGUAACGCGUAAACAACCUGCCCUACGGAUGGGGACAACAGCUGGAAACGGCUGCUAAUACCGAAUACGUUCCGAAAGUCGCAUGACUGUCGGAAGAAAGGAUGGCCUCUAUUUAUAAGCUAUCGCCGGAGGAGGGGUUUGCGUCUGAUUAGCUAGUUGGAGGGGUAACGGCCCACCAAGGCGACGAUCAGUAGCCGGUCUGAGAGGAUGAACGGCCACAUUGGAACUGAGACACGGUCCAGACUCCUACGGGAGGCAGCAGUGGGGAAUCUUCCGCAAUGGGCGAAAGCCUGACGGAGCAACGCCGCGUGAGUGAAGACGGCCUUCGGGUUGUAAAGCUCUGUUAUACGGGACGAAUAAUCUUGUGGUUAAUACCCAUGAGAAGUGACG